CGGUAAUACGUAGGGUGCAAGCGUUAAUCGGAAUUACUGGGCGUAAAGCGUGCGCAGGCGGUUUUGUAAGUCUGACGUGAAAUCCCCGGGCUCAACCUGGGAAUUGCGUUGGAGACUGCAAGGCUAGAAUCUGGCAGAGGGGGGUAGAAUUCCACGUGUAGCAGUGAAAUGCGUAGAUAUGUGGAGGAACACCGAUGGCGAAGGCAGCCCCCUGGGUCAAGAUUGACGCUCAUGCACGAAAGCGUGGGGAGCAAACAGGAUUAGAUACCCUGGUAGUCCACGCCCUAAACGAUGUCUACUAGUUGUCGGGUUUUAAUUAACUUGGUAACGCAGCUAACGCGUGAAGUAGACCGCCUGGGGAGUACGGUCGCAAGAUUAAA
rnacentral:rRNA from 1 species